AUUGAACGCUGGCGGAAUGCUUUACACAUGCAAGUCGAGCGGCAGCGCGGGGCAACCUGGCGGCGAGCGGCGAACGGGUGAGUAAUACAUCGGAACGUGCCCAGACGUGGGGGAUAACUACUCGAAAGAGUGGCUAAUACCGCAUACGAUCUGAGGAUGAAAGCGGGGGAUCGCAAUACCUCGCGCGUCUGGAGCGGCCGAUGGCAGAUUAGGUAGUUGGUGAGGUAAAGGCUUACCAAGCCUGCGAUCUGUAGCUGGUCUGAGAGGAUGAUCAGCCACACUGGGACUGAGACACGGCCCAGACUCCUACGGGAGGCAGCAGUGGGGAAUUUUGGACAAUGGGCGAAAGCCUGAUCCAGCCAUUCCGCGUGCAGGAUGGAGGCCCUCGGGUUGUAAACUGCUUUUGUACGGAACGAAAAAGACUCCGGCUAAUACCUGGAGUCCAUGACGGUACCGUAAGAAUAAGCACCGGCUAACUACGUGCCAG
rnacentral:rRNA from 1 species